CUGAUACCCAGGCACAACCUGCAGGCACCUUCUCCAGGUCUGCCGCCCCACCUGGGUGGUGAGCAUCACUUGUUAGUUCAACAGAUGUUUAUUCACCACCCUAUGCUGUGCAUUGUGCUGGGGCCCAGAUCAUCAGAGGGGACCCAUCCCUGCUCCCACGCCUGCUUACUGUCUAGCAAAGGAGAUGAGCAUUCGACCCUGGGAUCUCAGACACGUGUGGAAUUCCAGUGUGCUAGAAGCCUCUACCUCUUAUGAGGUGCACUAGGAAGGAAGAGGAGAUAUUGGAGCCCAAAUGACCAGCAGGCAGAGGGACUGCACCAGCAGGAAGACCAUCCUCCCCUCCCCAUCACCCCCUCCUUGCUCACGUGCUCCCCUGUCCCCCAAGUGACCAGAAGGGGGAGGGAGUAAAGGGGAUGUUUCCAUGGGACAAUAUUUAAAUUCAGCUCUUCUCUGAAUGUUUUUAGUUACAAAAGUAACAUAUACUCAUCAGAGCACCCCAGGCAGUGCCUGUAACCUCAGUCCGAAGUAGGCAACGCCGUCUGCUGGGUGUGUGUACCUCACACCACUCUCUGUGCUCAUGCAAAUCAUGUGUUUUAAGCAUGAGCCUUCAACUCAAUUCUCAUCUCCCCUGAGACGCUCGCUGCCUUUCAGAUGCUUGGUGCGAGGGUGCAGUACUCAGUGCAGCUGACUUUGGAUUCUGUGGGUGCUGCCACAGGACAGGAACCAGGACAUGUAUGCUGGGUUUUAUGCCAAUUCCAUAAAACAUGACCCAGGCUUGGGGGAGCCACAUUCAGGGAGAGACCCCAUGCUGAGUAUCAACUCCCAUCCCACACAUCCCUCCACUCCUGUGUCCACAACUGCAACAAGAUCAGAACCACCACUCAGCUCUAAAGGAUCAGAAGCCAGGGUGGAUCUCGCUCCUUCACUGUGCUCUCAGCCUGCACGUGAGCUGCUCUGAAGGGGUGAACACACCUGGGGUGGCUCUCAACCCGUGGGGGCCAGGAGUCAGCAGUAAAUGUUCCUGCGUCCCAUCCUUGGGUGGACGGUUCAGGGAGGAACUCUCAUGCUUCUCGGAGGAGCACCCAGCCUUGAGGAUGGGCUGUGCCUGCCUCCUGCCCACUCCUCACUACAGUACUCAGUGGGGCUUUUGCAAAAUCAGCCAGCUGCCCCUUUGCCCUUGCACUUCCUCCUGCCUGGAACUGAACACAAUGCUUGGAGAUACCGCAACCUUCAGGCAGUCAUGAGGACAAAGGCCUCAGGACCAGGGAGGAGCCUUCUAGCAGCCACGCCAGCCUCCAAAACUCCUGCUGCACAAGAAUUGCCCUGACUGAUUCCACUCUCCUCCUGGGUUUUCUCUUGGAGGUGAGUGCUUUGCCUCACACCUGUUACAUGAUCCAUGGUUGAAAUAUCUCCAUUAACAUCCAAAAAGCAUAUUGUUCUCUAUAUGUAGAAUAUAAAAUCCAGAGUGUACAUGUAUUCGUUUUACCUUAUUAAUUAUAUUUUUAGCUCUACAUUUCUUUCUUGUGAACUGAUCAAGAGAAAUUCAAAUCCAUUGCCAUGAUUAUGUGUUUCUCCUUUUUCUUGCCACACAUUUUUUAUUUUGCUGAGGAAGAUUGGCUCUGAGCUAAUAUCUGUUGCCAAUCUUCCUCUUUUUGCUUGAGGAAGAUAGUUGCUGAGCUAACAUCUGUGCCAAUCUCCCUCUAUUUUAUGUGAGAUGCUGCCACAGCAUGGCCACCAAUCAGUGGUGUAGCUCCACACCCAGGAACCGAACCCGGGGCACUGAAGCAGAGCACACCAAACUUAACCACUAGGCCACAGGGCUGGCCCCCAACCACACAGACAUUUUGAAUCAAGUAUUUGUUAGUCUGUAGUUUCAUAACUAGAGACUCAGGUGCUAAGAUCAUCAUUCUUCAUUGCACCUGUGUCAUUUCAGCCUUGGCUACUUUGCUUUAAUCUUUUUGCCUUAAAUUCUUCCUUGAUUCCCCUGAUCUUCCUCUUGCCUCAAACAAAAUCAAAUAAAACCCAUAUAUAGAAGAGAGGCUGAAAAAAAAUACACCAAAAUAUUAGCAAAUAGUUGUCUUUGAGUUGAAAAGAUAUAAAGAUUUUUUACCUUCUGUUUUCUGCAGUUUCCAAAAUUUCUAUAAUGACCAUGUGCUACUCUUUAUAAUGGAUAAAUAAUACUUAAAAAAAUAAAACAGAGAAAUCGUACUGUCUGGCGUUUAUAAAACAGUGAUGAGCACUAAUUCAAUAGGGCACUGCUCCAGGCCUGUCUGACAGGUAAACUUGUCUAAGCCUCUUAACAAUGCUUUGAGAUGGGUACUUUUAUUGUGACCAAAACAACUUUUUUGGUUUGAGUUUAGUUAAUAUAUGUUUACUUAUUUUAUUUUUAGUUUUUCUGUGGAUGUUUCUAUUUGUAUUUGGAGGUCUCUAAUAAGC
ensembl:lncRNA